rnacentral:rRNA from 1 species
GGCUAACGCGGUGGUAGAAGCCGGGGGAAAUCGGGGGGGAAAGCGUUACUCGGAAUAACUGGGCGUAAAGUGCAGUUAGGCGGAUUAAUAAGUUUGAAGUGAAAUCCGAUAGCGUAACUAUAGAACUGCUGUGAAAACUGUUAAUCUAGAAUGUGGGAGAGGUAGAUGGAAUUUCUGGUGUAGGGGGAAAAUCCGUAGAGAUCAGAAGGAAUACCGAUUGCGAAGGCGAUCUACUGGAACAUUAUUGACGCUGAGAUGCGAAAGCGUGGGGAGCAAACAGGAUUAGAUACCCGGGUAGUC